rnacentral:rRNA from 1 species
CACAUGCAAGUCGAGGGGCAGCAUUUUUCUAGCUUGCUAGAAAAGAUGGCGACCGGCGCACGGGUGAGUAACACGUAUCCAACCUACCUGUUAUUCGGGGAUAGCCUUGCGAAAGUAAGAUUAACACCCGAUGGUAUUAUGAAACCGCAUGGUUUUAUAAUUAAAGUUUACGAUAACAGAUGGGGAUGCGUUCCAUUAGAUAGUCGGCGGGGUAACGGCCCACCGAGUCGACGAUGGAUAGGGGUUCUGAGAGGAAGGUCCCCCACAUUGGAACUGAGACACGGUCCAAACUCCUACGGGAGGCAGCAGUGAGGAAUAUUGGUCAAUGGACGAGAGUCUGAACCAGCCAAGUAGCGUGAAGGAUGACUGCCCUAUGGGUUGUAAACUUCUUUUAUAUAUGAAUAAAGUGUGGUACGUGUACCAUUUUGUAUGUAAUAUAUGAAUAAGCAUCGGCUAACUCCGUGCCAGCAGCCGCGGUAAUACGGAGGAUGCGAGCGUUAUCCGGAUUUAUUGGGUUUAAAGGGAGCGCAGACGGUAUUUUAAGUCAGCUGUGAAAGUUUGCGGCUCAACCGUAAAAUUGCAGUUGAUACUGGAGUACUUGAGUGUGGUUGCGGUAGGCGGAAUUCGUGGUGUAGCGGUGAAAUGCUUAGA